CUCACUCUCGCUCUCUCUCUCUCUCGCUGUCUCUUUCUCUCUAUCAUGUCAACCUCGGAGGCACUGAAGUAGAUCUAGCUUUAGACCGCAAACUUUUAUCUCUGCCUUAUCACACCGUCCAUAUCACUUCUCCAUUUAGAAAUAAAUCCACAUAAAAAUGAACACAGAUGUUAGGACUGACAUGUUGAAGUCGCUCCCCUUUAACGCAGGACCGUACAUGUAUAAUGUACGUGUAUUUCUGGUUCCCGUGUUGAAUUGUAUCGGUGGAGGCAGGCUUCGAGGAAGAAAAAAAAAAAGGAAAAAAAAUCUCAUUAUUAGUGCCAGGAAGAAAUCCUCUUUGCUCUGGGCUGCGUGUUGUGGGUGUUGGAGCAGUGGGGAGGUGGGGGUUGAAUAGAGCGUAGAGCUCUGUGUGUGUGUGUGUGUGUGUGUGUGUGUGGAAGGAGAAGAGAAUGGAAAUGCAGAGAGAGGACUGCGAGAGAGAUACUGGAGUCAGUCAACCUGAUCGCCAACAAAUUUAGUAGGAAAGAAAUCGGAAGCAAAGCGACGGCCGAGCUAUAACUCCACCCCGAGGAUGAAUGGUGCGGAAAACAAACAAAAAAACAUCCGGGACUACAGGCGAAAAACACUUUGUCGGAUGAGAACGAAAGAUGGGUUCAAGCUGGCAGGGAGGCUGUAGCGACUCUUUACAAGCGUGGUGAGCAGAAAAGCAGGUCACAACGCACAAUACGUCGAACCUUAACGCGGUAGAGGACUCGGGAAAUCGGACAGGACAGUGAGAAUGGCUUUAAUUCGAUGCUACACAAGAACCUACUUCCAUCAACUUGAUAUUUUAUUCAUUUUUUUUCCAUUCCUAAUUUCCACUUUAUGUCAGUUUGCUUGAUCGCAUUGCCUCCUUUCCCGGCCAUGUUUGCUUCCACACUUUCACUAGCAAACAUUGGUGCCUGAGCUCCAAGGAGGCAGCGGACACGGAAAGGAAAAAAAAAAAGUGACCUACGCAUCCGCGUUCUCCUCAUUACCAUACGGGCAUCUGUGCGUUACGACCCUUCGUUUAUUUUAAUCCGCUCGCUUUUCCGUUUGCGUAUCAGGAGAUGCCCUUUCGCUUGAUUUAUACCACCACUAGCCAUAUAGCUGGCCCACUCGCUCAGAAAGAGGGGUGAUUAUUUAAUUAAACUGGAGCUGGGUAGGCCACUCAGGAUGCUCGUGGAAGGAAAGGGGUCCGAGUCGUGUGUGUAAACCGUCGAGAUUAAACAGCUUUUUUGAUUUUUUUGUAAAAAAAAAUAUAUGCAAUAUACUGUAGCAUGAUGUGAUAUUAAAUCGGAUGUCUUUGUCUCCGGCGUCUUGGGCGUUUUGGAUUUACAGCUGUGACCCCGUGAUGAAAACGAUGUCAUUUUCCGCUUACCCUUAAAAAUACAACAACCCAAUAAUCAGCUAAUUCUGACACGGUCGUGGAAGUCAGGCCCGGAUACUUGACCUUGCUAAUGUAAAUAAAAGAGAAACGCUUCGUAUUGGUUCUUUGGGAAUUGGACUACGCGGCGAGUUUGUGUGAGGGCUCGACUUGCCGCAGUCGCAGUGGCAUUUCUCUUUCUCGUUCCCCUCUUCUUCUUUUUUUUAUCCUCUCCGAGGCUUUUUCGCUUUCGCACCAGCCAAGCUCGGGAUGGCCAUUAAUCACCGGCUAAAAUGAUAGAUGUUCCUCACGGAAUGAGUAGAUGCACCAUGCAUACAGAAAUAACCUGCUGUGCUGGCUCAAGAAGCACACACAAACACUUUGUCUCUCUCUCACACACACACACAUGCUACACUCUAUAGCCCUUGUUCCCUUUCUCACUUCUAUCCCUAUCAUUUUCUUUCCCCCUGUACAUACUGCUCUUAUAUGAUUACACGUUGUAUACUCGUAUCGAUUAGUCAAAAAGCAUGUCCCCGUAACAAACUUGGGUCGCGACAAUUUUACCUUCGACGUCCCAGGAGCACCUGCAAAUUAGCAUAGAAAACGAGCCUCAACGUUCCAGAUGGAUCUCCAUCUGAGUGCUGAAUAAUCAGAUCUCUUCCAGGUAUGAUUGCACCUAAACACAACACAAAUAGACCUAGUUAAUCAUUAACGAUAUGCGUCAUCUUUGUUUUUUUUUUUUAGAAUGUUGUUUAGUUUCUUUAAAGUUUAUGUUGCUAAUCAGACAUGUGCGUAUUUCAGGUGCCAUUUUGUCGCCAUUUUCCGAAUUGCAGAUCUUCGGCUAUGCCAUACAACCUCUACAGCCACCGGUUUUUUCCCUCUGGUUCUUUUUAAUUGAAUGUGGUCCCAGGCACCUAGGACGGAAAAAAGACACCCUUUUUUUUUCUUUUUCUAGAGCAAGCGUUGUUGCAUCCAAUUACAGAUGGGGAGAGGAGGGGGGCUAGCUAAAGCCCAGGAAGAGUUUAUGACCCUUUCCACACAUCUGGGAUGAAAAGCAGGCUGUUUUUUUUUUUUUUUUCAAGCUCGAGGAGAGGCACAGGCAUGUCUGCGAGAAAAGAAGUGGAGAAAACAGCUUCUUUUUUUUCCUGAAGGCUUGCUGGGCUGUCUUGACGGCGACGAAGCAAGUUAACGACAUGCAAAUGAAAUGCGAGCACGCCGUAUCUUCACUCCACGGCCUAAUGAGAAAUUCCCGGAUUUUUCCAGCACACAAAUGGAGGAAACCCCUCCCCACCACCACCACCACCACCACCAUUAACUACAAAAUGUCUGGAUGUCUGUAGGUAAGAAUUAUCUAGGUGACACAAGCAGCAAAACAACUGAUAAGGUCCCCUUUUUUCAAUCUACACCAGGCACAAGAGGAAGCUCACAACAUCAACCUUUUUUUUUUGGAACUGUUUAUGCGGAGAAAUUGUCUGUAAUUUCACUUUUUUUUGGCCUAGUCAAGAACAUGAUUUAUGGGCUACGAACAUUAUGCAGCCUAACUGAAAAUCUUGAAAUAUUAACCAAAACAUUACUCAACAUUAUGAGCAGAUAAAUAAAUCGGUGGUGUUUAAAAUUG